rnacentral:rRNA from 1 species
UGGGGAAUAUUGCACAAUGGAGGGAACUCUGAUGCAGCGACGCCGCGUGAACGAAGAAGGCUUUCGAGUCGUAAAGUUCUUUUUUAUGGGAAGAUAAUGACGGUACCAUAAGAAAAAGCCCCGGCUAACUACGUGCCAGCCGCCGCGGUAAUACGUAGGGGGCUAGCGAUGUCCGGAAUCACUGGGCGUAAAGGGUUCGCAGGCGGAAAUGCAAGUCAGGUGUAAAAGGCAGUAGCUUAACUACUGUAAGCAUUUGAAACUGCAUAUCUUGAGAAGUGUAGAGGUAAGUGGAAUUUUUAGUGUAGCGGUGAAAUGCGUAGAUAUUAUAAAGAAUACCGAUGGCGAAGGCGACUUACUAGGCUCAUUCUGACGCUGAGGAACGAAAGCGUGGGUAGCAAACAGG